rnacentral:rRNA from 1 species
CCUACGGGUGACAGCAGUCGAGAAUCAUUCACAAUGGGGGAAACCCUGAUGGUGCGACGCCGCGUGGGGGAAUGAAGGUCUUCGGAUUGUAAACCCCUGUCAUGUGGGAGCAAAUUAAAAAGAUAGUACCACAAGAGGAAGAGACGGCUAACUCUGUUCCAGCAGCCGCGGUAAUACAGAGGUCUCAAGCGUUGUUCGGAAUCACUGGGCGUAAAGCGUGCGUAGGCUGUUUCGUAAGUCGUGUGUGAAAGGCGCGGGCUCAACCCGCGGAAGGCACAUGAUACUGCGAGACUAGAGUAAGGGAGGGGGAACCGGAAUUCUCGGUGUAGCAGUGAAAUGCGUAGAUAUCGAGAGGAACACUCGUGGCGAAGGCGGGUUCCUGGACAUUAACUGACGCUGAGGCACGAAGGCCAGGGGAGCGAAAGGGAUUAGAUACCCCAGUAGUC